rnacentral:rRNA from 1 species
CCUACGGUCGGCAGCAGUCGAGAAUCAUUCACAAUGGGGGAAACCCUGAUGGUGCGACGCCGCGUGGGGGAAUGAAGGUCUUCGGAUUGUAAACCCCUGUCAUGUGGGAGCAAAUUAAAAAGAUAGUACCACAAGAGGAAGAGACGGCUAACUCUGUGCCAGCAGCCGCGGUAAUACAGAGGUCUCAAGCGUUGUUCGGAAUCACUGGGCGUAAAGCGUGCGUAGGCUGUUUCGUAAGUCGUGUGUGAAAGGCGCGGGCUCAACCCGCGGACGGCACAUGAUACUGCGAGACUAGAGUAAUGGAGGGGGAACCGGAAUUCUCGGUGUGGCAGUGAAAUGCGUAGAUAUCGAGAGGAACACUCGUGGCGAAGGCGGGUUCCUGGACAUUAACUGACGCUGAGGCACGAAGGCCAGGGGAGCGAAAGGGAUUAGAUACCCCUGUAGUC